AAGGAUAAAAUGGGAGCUGCGUGGGCAGGAGUGGAGGAGGUCAGGUGGGGUCUGAAUGUUGCUGGGAAGCAGCCUGGUGCUGGUUAAAGCAGAGGGGUCUGAAAGGCUGCCCUUCUGGGUGUCUGUCUGUCUGUCUAUCUUCUCCCUGAGCUGUGUGUCUGAUCCUCUCCCCAUGAAUACACCAUAUCAUUCUGUCUCAUUAACGCUGCCUUGGGCCCUGGGCCUGCCCCCAGCACCACACGCCAGGCCCAUCACCAAUUCAUCUUUUUGCAAACUUUGAGCAAACCUAGGAGUCUCUCUCCCUCUCUUUCUCUCUCUCUCUUCCCUACAUCGUCAGUAGCCCACCCCAGCCUUGCACCCUCCUCCAUGGACCACCCACUGUUCUUGCCUCAGGAACGAGAAGUCGUUUGUCGAAUGCCCCACCUUCGGCCUGUCACCCCCUCUCACUAAAUGGUUUUCAGUGUCUCAAUAGCUUCUGCUUAUAUGUUUGAAGAUUCCAAACUGAAUGGGGAGGUGGCGAAGGCCGCGCUGGCGAACGAAGACUGCCCCCACAUAGACCAGGCCCUCACUCCCGAUGAGGGCCUGCCCUUUACCCGCUCGGGCACCCGCGAGAGAUACGGACCCUGCUUCCUCUUAUCAACCGGGGAGUACGCGUGCCCGCCUGGUGGAGGAAUGAGAAAGGAUCUUUGCAAAGAAAGCCCUGUCAUUGCUAAGUAUAUGCCGACAGAGGCUGUGAGAGUGACUUGACCAGGCGGCUUGGCCGAGGACACUGGUGGCUAUUAAGCAUCUGGGUGGACCUGCAGCCCCUCCUCACCCUCGGACAGAGUAAAUUCACGCCAUGCAGGUUUGCCGGACGAGUCCGAGUGGCCCCGGGCAUUGUACUAAGACGGACGUAGCUUUUUCUACGGCCCACGGUAACUGACCGUAGAGGAUUCGCCCUUCUUUCUUUUGAUUUUCUUUUUCUUUCUUUUUUUUUUUUUUAGAAGUUACCUUUUAUUUGGGGAGGGGGGGUCAAGGGGAGCCUUAGCAUGACUUGCAUGAAGUUAAACAGAAAACCCAGCUAAACCAACCCCACCAGCCCCUGCUGUGACUGUAUGCUCACUCUAACCACCACCGAGAACCAGAGAAAAGCAAGAGUCUCUUAUUUCUUCCAGCAUUCUUUGACACGUAGUGUCGGAGUCAAACUGUGACGGCGCUUGGUAGAACCCUGUACAUUUCCGGGAGUGGGUGCGGGGGGGGGGGGAGGUCAGGGACUAAGGAUGGGGCCAGGGGAGUGGAUUGCUUUUUUGUACACGAGACCCAGAGGAAAGGUCCCAAAAAGGCAGUCAGUCAUCGGUCACAUUGACCUCACCUUCAUAGCUCACCUCUCGCUCGGAAAACCAAGAACUAUGCUCCGAAUAGGAUUGUGGAAAUUCACACUGCCACCCUCUUCCACCUCCGUUUGGCAUGCUUGCGACCCAAUGGACCUCUCCCCAAGACCCCGACAGCGGCUAGUUUAGGUCAAUUCUCUCAUCUUGGUGUGUAGCUCCAGUGUGACCAAGUUUCAUAACAAAUUGUUCAUAGUUACACCACAUGGAUUUUCCAAUGUCAUUUUAAAGCCAGGAUGUAGAGUCCCUCCAGUUCAGGACCACCAGAGGGGCGCCUCCCCUCCACCUUUACUAAGGCGAAAACCGACACUGUAUGCAAUUUAGUACUUCAGAGCUCAAAGAAAAAAAAAAAAAGAAAAAAAAAGAAAAAAGAAAAACUGCAUGCCCAAUGUUAUGCAAAGAGAUUCGAGCAUGAAAUAAAUUUUGUAACAUGGUUUCUGUCUAGUCUAAAGCAGAUUUGUUUUUCUGAAGCAAUCGGAGGCUCGCAGAGACACGCUUCUGCAUCUCGAAUAAAUAUAGUAUUUUCCCAACAGAAACAGAGGACAGUAGCUUGGCUUUGGUCUGAUUCUAAAAUUAGUGCGUGUGGUGGGGGGAAAGAUGAUAUUUUUGAAAAACACAUGCUUGAGUUGAAAAAAAAAUGCAACAUCUCGAGCUUUUACUGCAACAUUUCCUGGAAAGACAGCAACCUCCCCUCCCUCCCCGGGCCUGGCCCUGGGAAUAAAGAACUGACUUUUGAUCUG
rnacentral:lncRNA from 1 species